CCUGGAGGGAGGGCAGGGAUAAACACCUCCAGUUACCCCUGGAUCCACCGCUUAACACAGACCACUUAUUUACCCGUCACAGCAAGCCUGCCUGCAUUAUACAGAAAAGGGACAAAGAGGAGCAAAGAAAGUAAUGGAGAACAAGCCAGAACACUCGGAUCCACCAUUUAAAACCCUCCAAUGGCUUCCCGUGAUGCCUAGUGAAUUAUGAACUUCUUACCCUGACCUGCAAGGCUCUUGCCCAGCCCUGUCCACCUCCCCACCUCAGCUCUUGCCGCGACCUCCCUCCCUUGGCACAUGCCACCCUUUGCACACGCCUGUGCCUACGACACGCUUGCCCUCGCACUUGAACCGGCCGACUUCUCCUAUCUCCCGGGUCUCAGCUGAGAAAACACUUCCCCUGGGAAGGGAACUCCCACGGCCUUUUGACCAUCUCCCGUCACCGCAUCAAUCUCACUGCACUGGAGGUGUCUCUUUGUCCGCCUCCCCUACAAGGCCGUGAAGCUAGAGAUCAUUGAUCUUGGUCACAGUUGUCACCAGAGUAUACAGUAGGUGUUCCAUCAAUAUUUAUCGGCUAAAUGGAUGGAAGAGAACCUUUCCACCUGUGAACAUGCCGGGGAUCAGCACUGUCUGCCAUUUCCCCUGCUAUUGGCUUGAGCUCCAGCUUUAUCCCUGUGUUCCUCCAAUAAGGCUUUGUGUAGCUGGGCUUCUGGACCUGAGCUAAGCUGUGAAAAGGGGCCACAGUGGAGGAGGCAGGACCGCUGGCUUCUUGUCCAGCUUGCCCCUCCUCUCACGCAAACCCAGAUCUGCGUCGCUCCAAACCUGCCGGCUCUGGUCCUGGACCGUGUCUCCGAGUCCUACUUCCUCUCUGAUCCUGGACAUCCCUGAAGGAAGCCUGAUGGUUGCCUUUAAAUACAUAUUAUUUUAAUGUAUUCUUUUGAAUAGGCAGGAUAUGCGCACGGUACAAAAUUCAAAAGAUACAAAGGAUGGAAAGUAAGUCUUUCCUAUUCCUGCCCAAACCUCCCUCGCAGCAAUCUCAGAGGUCAAUGUAGUUACCACUUUCUUGGGCAGCCUUCCAGAGAUAAGUUAGGCACACAUAAACAAACAUAUAUGAACUCUCUUCUCAUUCUGUACGUGCUGCCUUGCACCUUACUUUAAGUUAACCUGAGACCGCGUGAUGACUCUACAAGUACAAGCACAGGGGCCUCUUUCUUUGUCCUGGCUGCAUACUAUUUCAUCGUAUGAAAUUGUGUCAUCCCUGAUUGAAUGAAUCCCCUGCCCGUGGACACUUAGGUUGCUUCCAGUCUUUUGCUGUUGUAAACGCGCUGUGGUUAAUAAUCCUGAACUCCAACGGUUUUGCUCAUGGGCCAGCAUGAGGAUAAAUUCUAGGAUUUAUCUAUAGGAUAAAAUUCUAGAAGCGGAAUCUCUGGGUGGAAGAGUCUGUGUAUUCGUCAUCUUGGUAUCCACCGUCAGAAUGGCCUCCGCAGAGGGGGGUGCCCAUUUACCCACAGCGUUGCACACGUUGUGUGUUAACAGAUGCUUUGAGUUUUGUCAUCUGGUAGGUGCUAAGUGCUAUCUCAGUGUGGUUUGACUUUGCUUUUCUCUCAUUAAAAAAAAAAUCGUGCACUAAAAAAAUACA